rnacentral:lncRNA from 1 species
CACAUGAGUCCGACUCAUGAGGAAUUCAAUUGGGUCCAGUUUCGGCUCGAUCCAAAUCCAACUUAGAUCAGAAUAAAUACGAAAUUAAAUCCCACUUAAAUCAUGAUCGAGCCCAAUUACACUAAUUUAGACCCAAUCAAAUCCAAUCUCAACAAUUGAGUCCUGAUCAAGUUCCAUUACAUUAAUUGAAACUUGAUUGACCCGAAAUACGUUCUUAAUUAGUUG